GAUGAACGCUAGCGAUAGGCCUAACACAUGCAAGUCGAGCGGGCAAUUUAUCUAGCACUGAUUACUUCAAAUGGCUAUCGCCAGUGUAAUCAUGAAUUUCUACCUUAUUAAUAAAGAAAGAGAAAUUCAUGUACGCAAAUAGUGAUAACACAUUUUAGUGAAGUGAUGAGUGCUGGAUAAAUUGCUAGCGGCGGACGGGUGCGUAACACGUGGGUAACCUGCCCCUAUCACUGGGAUAACACACUGAAAAGUGUGCUAAUACCAGAUAAUAUAAGCUUUUGGCAUCAUUAGCUUAUCAAAGAAUUUCGGAUAGGGAUGGGCCCGCGUCUGAUUAGCUAGUUGGUGAGGUAACGGCUCACCAAGGCAACGAUCAGUAGCCGACCUGAGAGGGUGAUCGGCCACACUGGAACUGAGACACGGUCCAGACUCCUACGGGAGGCAGCAGUGGGGAAUAUUGCACAAU
rnacentral:rRNA from 1 species